UGGGGAAUCUUGCGCAAUGGGGGAAACCCUGACGCAGCGACGCCGCGUGCGGGAUGAAGGCCUUCGGGUUGUAAACCGCUUUCAGCAGGGACGAGGCCUUAUGGUGACGGUACCUGCAGAAGAAGCUCCGGCUAAAUACGUGCCAGCAGCCGCGGUAAUACGUAUGGAGCAAGCGUUAUCCGGAUUCAUUGGGCGUAAAGCGCUCGUAGGCGGUCUGUUAGGUCGGCAAGUUAAAUCCGGGGGCUCAACCCCCGUCCGCUUCCGAUACCGGCAGACUUGAGUUUGGUAGGGGAAGGUGGAAUUCCUAGUGUAGCGGUGGAAUGCGCAGAUAUUAGGAAGAACACCGGUGGCGAAGGCGGCCUUCUGGGCCAUAACUGACGCUGAGGGGCGAAAGCUAGGGGAGCGAACAGG
rnacentral:rRNA from 1 species